GACGAACGCUGGCGGCGUGCUUAACACAUGCAAGUCGAACGAUGAAGCCCUUCGGGGUGGAUUAGUGGCGAACGGGUGAGUAACACGUGGGCAAUCUGCCCUGCACUCUGGGACAAGCCCUGGAAACGGGGUCUAAUACCGGAUAUGACUACCGACCGCAUGGUCUGGUGGUGGAAAGCUCCGGCGGUGCAGGAUGAGCCCGCGGCCUAUCAGCUUGUUGGUGGGGUGAUGGCCUACCAAGGCGACGACGGGUAGCCGGCCUGAGAGGGCGACCGGCCACACUGGGACUGAGACACGGCCCAGACUCCUACGGGAGGCAGCAGUGGGGAAUAUUGCACAAUGGGCGAAAGCCUGAUGCAGCGACGCCGCGUGAGGGAUGACGGCCUUCGGGUUGUAAACCUCUUUCAGCAGGGAAGAAGCGAGAGUGACGGUACUUGCAGAAGAAGCGCCGGCUAACUACGUGCCAGCAGCCGCAGUAAUAC
rnacentral:rRNA from 1 species